GCUGAGCCCUGCCUCUGCUUGAACAGCUGAUCCCCAGCAGAGACACAGUGGGGGCCCAAAGGAGCCCACCUCGCCCUGUCUUGUUACACUUUCUGUCCUGAAGCCAUGUCCGCAGUACCACCUGCCAUCGUGUCUUAGUAAACAGCCUCUCCCUCGGCCAGGAGCACAGUCGUCCUGUCUCUUCCUGUAAGGCCUCUCUGACAUCAGCCAGGGGGAGAGCCAGGCCCCCUGGAACCCCCAAGCUGCACACGCCUCUCUCCUCACAAGGAGCCAAGCCAGCCCCCAACUCCUGGCCAGAGCCGGCCAAUGUCCUCAUCACGUGGUGUAGUGUCCCUUCCUGGGGACAGGAGGACACCCAGGGCAGAUCUCACUGAGAAUGUGCAGAGGGUGUGGUGGGGAUCACGAUGAUGGGGAGAUGCCGACAGCCCCCGAGCCCAGGUGUCCCCUGCCCCUCCAGGAGCUGUGGUUCCGAGCAGCUCAUUUUCAGAAGGGUGGCGGUUCCGAAACCGAUGGCAGUCACUUACGGAGAAUCGACGUUUAAGCAGAGAGGAAUCCCUAGACUCACCCUGGGAGGUCUGGCCACCUCUUGGGCGUCAGAAGCGCGUGCCAGGCAGCGGGCAGGACCAGCAGUCGGAGGCCCGCUGGCCGCCAGAACCUGUUUCUUGCCUCCCACCAGCAACCCCCACGCCACCCUGGGCCCAGGCACAAAGCAUACGUCUCAGGGGACCACUCCCACGUUCCGGGAGUCCCGAGGAAGCCUCCACGGCCUCUUGCACCUGCCCGUAGGGCGCUCCCCGGGCAUCAGCCCCAGAGAGGCUUGCAGUCCUGCCUUUCUCCCCGUUGGAAACUGCGGCCCCGCAAGCCACACGCACUCAGCAUCGCAUGCUGUGAGAUUCCCAAGUGUGUGAAACUUCGUUUGGAUUCCAACACAUGCAGCAUGUGCAAAGGGACAGGCCCAGGCCACCACGGGUCGUCUGCCGGCUGGCCGCAGAGCGUCCCGCCACGGCGGAUCCUGGACCCUGAGCCUUGCAUCUCCUGCACACCUGCAGAGCCCCGCCCCCUUCCUCCAUCUCUCCUUCACACUGAUUGCACACCGCCUUGCACAAGCAGAGAUAAUGUAACAAUUACAACCAUCUCUCAUUUAAGGUAAACCCAAAGCCCCCGCUUGGACUUUCUUGAUUGUCUGAGAAGGGUUUGUGUGAACCCCUGUGUCCCUCCGUGUCCCGCCUGGGAGCACAGAGUGGGCCUGGGUGACACGUUCUCCCAUCAGUAGACCUUGCUGAGAGUGCUUCUUUAGACGCGGAAACCAGAUGUCUGUUCCAGAAGGACACCAACUCAAUAUCACUGGGGAACCUCUCGUGAUAGAUUUGUAUAAUCAAUACGGGUCUAUUUUUACGUCAACUGAACACUGUAGAGCACCUUCCAGUCUUUUCCAAGAUUGUUAAAUUGAGACAAGUAAUUGAAUAAUUUGUCCUAUUUUUAUUUAAAAAGCAAAAACCAGUGAAUGGACUGAAAUGUUAAAUGUGAAUGUACAUUUCUUAAUUGCAACUUUUCUACUGAGUGUUUGCACUAUACUUUCUGGAAUCUUAUUUAACAAAAAUAAAGAAGAAAAAAUUGCUU
rnacentral:lncRNA from 1 species